rnacentral:rRNA from 1 species
AUCAAAUUUCUAAGGGCAAAUGGUGGAUGCCUUGGCAUCUGGAGCCGAUGAAGGACGUAGUAAUCUGCGAUAAGCCUCGGGGAGUCGAUAAACGGGCGUUGAUUCGAGGAUUUCCGAAUGGGGGAACCCGGCCGCAUUGUGUGUGGUCACUCCGGUCUGAAUAUAUAGGGCUGUGAGGGGGAACGUGGGGAAGUGAAACAUCUCAGUACCCACAGGAAGAGAAAACAAUAGUGAUUCCGUUAGUAGUGGCGAGCGAACGCGGAUGGGGCUAAACCGGUUGUGUGUGAUACCAGGUAGGGGUUGCAUGAUCGGGGUUGUGGGACAUGCGUGGUCGUUCUAUCUGGCGGCUGGCGUUUGCGCAUUGUGUAGGUGAACAGGUUUGAAUGCCUGACCGUAGGGGGUGCGAGUCCCGUAGCUGAAACAUGGUGUGUGCGUUUGUGUGUAUCCCAAGUAGCGCGGAGCCCGUGAAACUCUGUGUGAAUCUGUCGGGACCACCCGAUAAGCCUAAAUACUUCCAGGUGACCGAUAGCGGACGAGUACCGUGAGGGAAAGGUGAAAAGUACCCCGGGAGGGGAGUGAAAUAGUACCUGAAACCAUUUGCUUACAAUCCGUCGGAGCCUUUUGGGGUGACGGCGUGCCUUUUGAAGAAUGAGCCUGCGAGUUAGUGAUGUGUGGCGAGGUUAACCCGUGUGGGGUAGCCGUAGCGAAAGCGAGUCUGAAGAGGGCGUUGAGUCGCAUGUUCUAGACCCGAAGCGAAGUGAUCUAUCCAUGGCCAGGUUGAAGCGAGGGUAAAGCCUUGUGGAGGACCGAACCCACCUAGGUUGAAAACUGGGGGGAUGAGCUGUGGUUAGGGGUGAAAGGCCAAUCAAACUUCGUGAUAGCUGGUUCUCUCCGAAAUGCAUUUAGGUGCAGCGUUGCGUGUUUCUUGCUGGAGGUAGAGCUACUGGAUGGCCGAUGGGCCCGACAAGGUUACUGACGUCAGCCAAACUCCGAAUGCCGGUAAGUGAGAGCGUAGCAGUGAGACGGUGGGGGAUAAGCUUCAUCGUCGAGAGGGAAACAACCCAGACCACCAAUUAAGGUCCCUAAGCGUGUGCUAAGUGGAAAAGGAUGUGGAGUUGCAGUGACAACCAGGAGGUUGGCUUAGAAGCAGCCAUCCUUGAAAGAGUGCGUAAUAGCUCACUGGUCAAGUGAUUCCGCGCCGACAAUGUAACGGGGCUCAAGCACACCACCGAAAUUGUGGAAUUCAAUUUUUUGUUGGAUUGGUAGGAGAGCGUCGCGUGUUGGGUGAAGCGGUAGUGUGAACUGAUCGUGGACGGCACGCGAGUGAGAAUGCAGGCAUGAGUAGCGAAAGACGGGUGAGAAACCCGUCCUCCGAAUGACUAAGGGUUCCAGGGUCAAGCUAAUCUUCCCUGGGUUAGUCGGGUCCUAAGGCGAGGCCGACAGGCGUAGUCGAUGGUGAACGGGUUGAUAUUCCCGUACCGAUGGUGUGACCGCCCAAUGCGAGCGGGUGAUGCUAAGCAAGUGAAGUCUUCUUGUGGCCUUCGGGUUGCUUGGGGGUGGAGGUUGUGAACCGAAUCCGUGAGUGUAGCGUAUUAACAGGUGUGACGCAGGAAGGUAGCCGAGCCGGGUGAAUGGUUGUAUCCGGGCAAGGAUGUAGGGCCAGUGAUAGGCAAAUCCGUCACUGAAUAGCCUGAGAUCUGAUGCGGAAGUCUCUUUUGGGACGUAGUCGGUGAUCCUAUGCUGCCAAGAAAAGCAUCGGCGUGAGGUUGCAGUGUUGCCCGUACCCAUAACCGACACAGGUGGUCAGGUAGAGAAUACUAAGGAGAUCGAGAGAAUCGUGGUGAAGGAACUCGGCAAAAUGCCCCCGUAACUUCGGGAGAAGGGGGGCCAUCCACUUAUACGGAUUUACUCCGGACAGGGUGUGGUGGCCGCAGAGACCAGUGGGACUCGACUGUUUAUCAAAAACACAGGUCCGUGCGAAGUCGCAAGACGAUGUAUACGGACUGACGCCUGCCCGGUGCUGGAAGGUUAAGAGGAAGGGUUAGCUUUGGCGAAGCCUAGAAUUUAAGCCCCAGUAAACGGCGGUGGUAACUAUAACCAUCCUAAGGUAGCGAAAUUCCUUGUCGGGUAAGUUCCGACCUGCACGAAUGGCGUAACGAAUUCCCAGCUGUCUCCACCGCGAACUCGGCGAAAUUGCAGUACGAGUAAAGAUGCUCGUUACGCGCAGCAGGACGAAAAGACCCCGUGACCUUUACUAUAGCUUGGUAUUGGUGAUUGAAAUGGCUUGUGUAGGAUAGGUGGGAGACUGUGAAGCAUUGACGCUAGUUGGUGUGGAGUCGUUGUUGAAAUACCACUCUGGUUAUUUUAGUUAUCUAACUUCGGACCGUGAUCCGGUUCAGGGACAGUGCCUGGUGGGUAGUUUAACUGGGGCGGUUGCCUCCUAAAGAGUAACGGAGGCGCCCAAAGGUUCCCUCAGCCUGGUUGGUAAUCAGGUGGUGAGUGUAAGUGCACAAGGGAGCUUGACUGUGACACUGACAGGUGGAGCAGGGACGAAAGUCGGGACUAGUGAUCCGGCAGUGGCUUGUGGAAGCGCUGUCGCUCAACGGAUAAAAGGUACCUCGGGGAUAACAGGCUGAUCUUGCCCAAGAGUCCAUAUCGACGGCAUGGUUUGGCACCUCGAUGUCGGCUCGUCGCAUCCUGGGGCUGGAGUAGGUCCCAAGGGUUGGGCUGUUCGCCCAUUAAAGCGGUACGCGAGCUGGGUUCAGAACGUCGUGAGACAGUUCGGUCUCUAUCCGCUGCGCGCGUGGGAAGUUUGAGGAGAUCUUUCUUUAGUACGAGAGGACCGAGAAGGACGAACCUCUGGUGUGUCAGUUGUUCUGCCAAGGGCAUUGCUGAUUUGCUACGUUCGGGAUGGAUAACCGCUGAAAGCAUCUAAGCGGGAAGCCGGCUUCGAGAUGAGACUUCCUUCCCUAUUUUGGGGUGAGGUUCCCAGUAGAUGACUGGGUUGAUAGGCCGGGUGUGGAAGCACUGUAAGGUGUGGAGCUGACCGGUACUAAUAGACCGAAGAUUUGAU